AUGCGCAGAUGGGGAAAGCGAGCUGGAGCGCUUGUCAGACUCAGGAAGCGCGGAUUUCGAACGCCUUUGCCUAGCAUCCAUCUGGCAAAUCUCCGCUCUCUACCGAACAAAAUGGACGAACUCCUGCUCUCUCGGACAAAUAAGGAUUUCUCACACUCUGCUGCUCUGUGUUUCACGGAAACCUGGCUGAAUGAUGCCAUACCGGACAGCGCGCUCCAUCUGCCGGACUUUCAGCUGUUUAGAGCAGAUCGUGAUGGAGAAUCAACAGGGAAAUCGCGCGGCGGCAGGACAUGCUUUUACAUCAAUGAACGGUGGUGUACAGAUAUAACUGUGUUAAAGAAGAUGUGCUGCUCAGAUCUUGAAACACUCUUCAUUAACUGCAAGCCGUUCUAUUCGCCGCGGGAAUUUCACUCGUUCAUUCUGGUGAGUGUUUACAUUCCUCCACAAGCGCACGUAAGCCUGGCUUUACAGAAACUCGCUGAUCAGAUCACAGAGACAGAACAACAACAACCGGACUCUGUUUUAAUCAUUCUUGGGGACUUUAAUAAAGCCAAUCUCUUCCGUGAACUGCCAAAAUACAGACAGCAUGUUACAUGUCCCACCAGAGACAGUAAUAUAUUGGAUCACUGUUACACCACAAUAAAGGAUGCAUAUCACUCUGUUCCACGAGCAGCUUUGGGACUGUCUGAUCACUGUCUGGUUCAUCUUAUACCAACCUACAGGCAGAAACUUAAAUCUGCUAAACCUGUAGUAAAGACUGUAAAGAGAUGGACCAACGAAACAGAGCAGGAUUUACAAGCCUGUUUUGACCUCACUGAUUGGAGUGUUUUUGAAGCUGCUACCACCGAUCUGGACGAACUCACAGAGACCGUAACAUCAUAUAUUAGUUUUUGUGAGGAUAUAUGCAUUCCUACCAGGACUUAUUUAACAUUCAACAAUGAUAAGCCAUGGUUUACAGCAAAACUCAGACAUCUUCGUCAGGCCAAAGAGGAUGCCUACAGAAAUGGGGACAGAGUCUUGUACAAUCAGGCCAGGAACACACUGAACAAAGAGAUUAGAGCGGCUAAAAAGACCUACGCUAAAAAGUUGGAAGACCAGUUUACUUCCAACGACUCAACUUCAGUGUGGAGUGGACUGAGAGCCAUCACUAAUUACAAGACACCAUCCUCCUGCACUGAGGCUAAUCAACGACUUGCUAACGACCUGAAUGAGUUUUAUUGUAGAUUUGAAACCCCCAACACCCAUUCUGACCAUCUCUCUACACAACCGUUAACACCUCCUGCAAUCCCCCUCUCCACACCUCCUGCUCUUCAAAUCAGUGAGGAUGAUGUGCGCCAGGUCUUCAGGAAGAACAAAAGAAGAAAAGCACCAGGCCCAGAUGGCGUUACACCAGCCUGUUUGAAAACCUGUGCUGACCAGCUGGCCCCCAUCUUUUCACAGAUCUUCAACAGAUCUCUGGAGUUGUGUGAAGUGCCUUCCUGCUUCAAACACUCCACCAUCAUCCCUGUUCCAAAGAAACCCAAGAUAACAGGACUUAACGACUACAGACCUGUGGCUCUAACGACUGUCGUCAUGAAGUCAUUUGAAAAACUGGUUCUGGCUUGUCUGAAGGACAUCACUGGACCCUUACUGGACCCCCUGCAGUUUGCUUACCGAGCAAACAGGUCCGUGGAUGAUGCAAUCAACAUGGGAUUGCACUUCAUCCUGCAACAUCUGGACAAAACAGGGACUUGUGAGGAUCCUGUUUGUGGACUUUAG
ensembl:lncRNA